rnacentral:rRNA from 1 species
GACAGAGGAUGCAAGCGUUAUCCGGAAUGAUUGGGCGUAAAGCGUCUGUAGGUGGCUUUUUAAGUCUGCCGUCAAAUCCCAGGGCUCAACCCUGGACAGGCGGUGGAAACUACCAAGCUGGAGUACGGUAGGGGCAGAGGGAAUUUCCGGUGGAGCGGUGAAAUGCGUUGAUAUUGGAAGGAACGCCGGUGGCGAAAGCGAACUGCUGGACCUCUUCUGACACUGAUGCGCGAAAGCUAGGGGAGCAAACGGG